rnacentral:rRNA from 1 species
CAGGCCUAACACAUGCAAGUCGAACGAACCUUCGGGUUAGUGGCGGACGGGUGAGUAACGCGUGAGAAUCUGCCCUCAGGAGGGGGAUAACAGUUGGAAACGACUGCUAAUACCCCAUAUGCCGAGAGGUGAAAUGAAUUUCGCCUGAGGAUGAGCUCGCGUCUGAUUAGCUUGUUGGUGGGGUAACGGCCUACCAAGGCUUCGAUCAGUAGCUGGUCUGAGAGGACGAUCAGCCACACUGGGACUGAGACACGGCCCAGACUCCUACGGGAGGCAGCAGUGGGGAAUUUUCCGCAACGGGCGAAAGCCUGACGGAGCAACGCCGCGUGAGGGAUGGAGGCCUUUGGGCUGUAAACCUCUUUUCUCAAGGAAGAAGACCUGACGGUACUUGAGGAAUAAGCCACGGCUAAUUCCGUGCCAGCAGCCGCGGUAAUACGGGAGUGGCAAGCGUUAUCCGGAAUUAUUGGGCGUAAAGCGUCCGCAGGCGGCCGUUUAAGUCUGUUGUUAAAUCGUGGAGCUCAACUCCAUCACGGCUAUGGAAACUGUUCGGCUUGAGUAUGGUAGGGGCAGAGGGAAUUUCCGGUGUAGCGGUGAAAUGCGUAGAUAUCGGGAAGAACACCAGUGGCGAAAGCGCUCUGCUGGACCAUUACUGACGCUCAUGGACGAAAGCCAGGGGAGCGAAAGGAUUAGAUACCCCUGUAG